rnacentral:rRNA from 1 species
UGAGGAAUAUUGGACAAUGGGCGCAAGCCUGAUCCAGCCAUGCCGCGUGCAGGAUGACGGUCCUAUGGAUUGUAAACUGCUUUUGUACAGGAAGGAACACUGGUUCGUGAACCAGCUUGACGGUACUGUAAGAAUAAGGAUCGGCUAACUCCGUGCCAGCAGCCGCGGUAAUACGGAGGAUCCAAGCGUUAUCCGGAAUCAUUGGGUUUAAAGGGUCCGUAGGCGGUUUAGUAAGUCAGUGGUGAAAGCCCAUCGCUCAACGGUGGAACGGCCAUUGAUACUGCUAAACUUGAAUUAUUAGGAAGUAACUAGAAUAUGUAGUGUAGCGGUGAAAUGCUUAGAGAUUACAUGGAAUACCAAUUGCGAAGGCAGGUUACUACUAAUGGAUUGACGCUGAUGGACGAAAGCGUGGGUAGCGAACAGGAUUAGAUACCCUGGUAGUCCACGCCGUAAACGAUGGAUACUAGCUGUUGGAAGCAAUUUCAGUGGCUAAGCGAAAGUGAUAAGUAUCCCACCUGGGGAGUACGUUCGCAAGAAUG